UGUGAAAUCCCCGGGCUCAACCUGGGAACUGCAUUCGAAACUGGCAGGCUAGAGUCUUGUAGAGGGGGGUAGAAUUCCAGGUGUAGCGGUGAAAUGCGUAGAGAUCUGGAGGAAUACCGGUGGCGAAGGCGGCCCCCUGGACAAAGACUGACGCUCAGGUGCGAAAGCGUGGGGAGCAAACAGGAUUAGAUACCCUGGUAGUCCACGCCGUAAACGAUGUCGAUUUGGAGGUUGUGCCCUUGAGGCGUGGCUUCCGGAGCUAACGCGUUAAAUCGACCGCCUGGGGAGUACGGCCGCAAGGUUAAAACUCAAAUGAAUUGACGGGGGCCCGCACAAGCGGUGGAGCAUGUGGUUUAAUUCGAUGCAACGCGAAGAACCUUACCUG
rnacentral:rRNA from 2 species